AUGAACAGCCUCAAGGACGAGGAUUCCGGAUCCUAUUUCUGUGCCAAGGACGAUCCGGAAUCCUCGUCCCUGAGGCUGUUCAUGGUCAGCGUCACCGAAGGGCUCCGGGUGGCCGUGACCCUGCUGGAGUCCGGGGGGGACCUCCAGCCCCCCGGGGGGUCCCUGCGCCUCCUCUGCCGAGGCUCCGGCUUCAGUUUCAGCAGUUUUGACAUGGGCUGGGUCCGCCAGAGACCCGGGCAGGCGCUGGAGUGGGUCGGGAGCAUCAGCAACACUGGUGGCAGCUCCGUGUACGCGCCGUCGUUGAAGGGCCGGGUGACGAUCUCCAGGGACAACGGGCAGAGCUCGGUGACGCUGACCAUGAACAGCCUCAAGGACGAGGAUUCCGGAUCCUAUUUCUGUGCCAAGGACGUUGGUGGUUACGGUGCUGCUCCUAAUGCUCCCUGGGGAUGCCAUCCUCAAUAUAAUCAGCACCGUAAGCACCACCAGUGUCAGGAGAUUUCCCGCAGAAAUGGGAUCCGGAAUCCUCGUCCUCGAGGUUGGUCAUGUCCAGCUCGGCCAAUCAGGGCCCGGGAACGUGAGGGAGAUUUAGGCUAA